rnacentral:misc_RNA from 1 species
CAGGAGUUUAACUGCAUGCCACUGUUUGUGCUCAGGAUCGCAGAGGGAGGAUCAGCAGACUUAGAUGGGAGACUCAGGGUGGGUGACCAGAUCCUGGAGAUAAACGGCUACAAGACGGAGAGCAUGACCCACUCGGACGCCAUCGACAUCAUCCAGAACGGUGGCCAGACAGUGCGACUGUUGGUCAGGAGGACAGGCAAACUGCCGCCAGCAUUCGACCCUAGUCCUAUGGGUGGAGGAUACUCCCCAUCGAACAACGUACCAAUGACAAACGGCCCAAUAGGUCAAAGUUCACCUUAUCUGGGUCGCCGCCAAAUUGACACUAGGGAAACAAACUAUUUUGGUUACCAAGGAAAUCGGCAGUACUCUGGCUAAAGAACAAAAAUGAACGAAAAUGCAUCAAGGUGCCAAAUACCAAAGGAAGUGUAAAAAAUAAAAACCAAGCCAGACGUGGUGGCUGAGAGACGGAAGAAACCGGGCCGAGCCGGGAGGGGUGUCCCACCCCCACCCCCAGCCCCCCAGGGAGGACCGCAGAGAUUGUGAAGUGUGAUACACAUUUGAUAUUACUGUCAUGUGAUAUUUUGUAAGUGGUUUCAGUGAAUCUGCUGAGAUGUGUAACUGUUGUAAAAGAGUGAAUUUUUUGCAUUUUUAUAAAAUUUUCGUACUUUGCCUCUUGUUAUGUAAAACAUGUUUACAAAGCAUUUGCGAUUGACAUUAUCUUCAUUGAUUAACUUGUCAUUAACAUCGUUAACCCAAUUACAUGUGCUCUGUUAUGCAUUUUAUACUACACCAUUAAACAUACAAGCUAAAUAGCCAGCUGUUGGAUCAGUUUACAGUUUGUAAAGGCUGCCUAUCAAUUUAACUUUUUUUCACUGCAACUUUGAAUCAAUAAUUUCCUGACAGUUUUUCAGCCAGGCAUGAAGAAGUGAAGUAUCAAACAUAUUUUGAAAUGUGGUGUGGGUAAUAGUCAUUUUUAGGGGCAUAUUGAAAGCAAUAGUAACUGUACCUAGUGCUCGUCAGUUUUUUGUAAAUGUGUGAUGCAAUGGAAGUAAUUUGUAAAAGCUGUUUAUUAACAUGUUUUUUUAAUUUAAUUAAUUUUUACUACAUGUAUAAUGUUGUCAAAUCUGCUUGAAGUCUAAUGCCACUUGAUGAAGGUUGUAAUCUAUAUUUAGAUGAUAAACAAAUACAUAUACAUGUACAUUUUUAAAGGUUUGUUUGAUUACAAAACUAAUUAUUACUAAUUGGGGCCAGUCGUAAUAAGUUGACACUGAAUUAUGUAAUCUGUGAUCUCUGUUUUUUAUUUAUGUUCAGCAACCCUUUAUAGACAAAACAUAUCAACAGGAUGACAGUCCUAAAACUUUCACAAUUGUUAGAUAAAAAUAUGUCUAUUUAAAGUUGAAUGUUUGAAAUGUUGAAAAACAUGUACUUGUAUGCAAAAUGUUUGAAGUCUUACAACUUAUUUUCUUUAAUGCUGUGUUAUGAAAUAUGCAUACUUAAAUAAUCAGCAUGCCUCUAUAUUGUAAAGUGAAUUUCCCUGUCUGUUAUUUUGAUGGCUUCAGUUUAUUUUUUGUAGCUGGGUUUGUUUUACUGUUCUUAGAACACUUCUUUCUUUAUUUUUCAGCUGAUUUGACAGGUUUUCUUUCUUUGACUCGGUAUGGUGUUGUGAAAGCCUUAUAAAGGACGUCUCUAUUUUUAUUGUUAUCUGUAAAAGUAUGUCCCCAGUGAAAUGGCAGAUAGUGCUGCAGUGAACUCUAUACCUAUUUAUGUACUACCUUAUACAAUAUAUAUAUUUGUAACAACAAAUCAGAAAAAGUCUAAUAGGUGCUGUAACACCUGUCCUAUAUUUUAAUGGGCUGUUUAAUCAGAGUCUGGUAGAGAGAUGGUUUAAUUUUUCUUGUAAAUAUCUUAUACAAUGCAUAGACAUAUUAAUUUUCAAAGUGUACCUUAAUGUAAAACCCACAAGUUUCUUUAUUUGAUUUGAAUUUCUUGCAUGAAAGAUUAAUUUCUGUAUUUGAUUGUAGAGAGUGACCUGUAUCAGUGAUCAGAAGUCAUUUACAUAUUAAUUAACUUAAUGGUUGUAUUAAUUACUCCUAUACACAAGUUGUGACUGAUGAUAUAUAUACACAUAGAGGAAGUUUAUACACUAUUUACGCCCUGUAUCUUCAUAUACUUUAUACUUCUCUAGGUUGUUAUUGUUUAAGGAAUAUAUAAUUUUAAAGUUGACGUUAAUAUUGGGUAGCAAUUUCACGUUAGAUGAAACAAUUGUACUAGGGUGGGCAUAUUUACUGUUUUACGUCCCUACCCAUCAAAUUAUCAGCAUUCUUGUUUAAUAGUUUCAUAUUCUUUGUUCAUGUUUAUGGCAUUUAAACUUUUGAUGUAAUUUUGACAUUACUAUUUAUUCUGUGAGUUGAGUCGUAUAUUUCUCUUUUUUUGACCUGGUUUCACCCUCCCCCUGCAUUCAUUUUCUUAACUAUCAGUUGUUAAUGGCAGCACAGGCUUCAUACCACAGUGAAUAUAUGUGUAAUAUAGAUAGUGAGGAUGUAAAUAACAUAGCGUGUACAGAUAACUAGGUCGUAAUGUACAGAAUCAAUUCAUGUGUACAGAUCCAAUAAUAAAACUUGUUAUAAUGUG